CUACGGGAGGCACCAGUGGGGAAUAUUGGACAAUGGGGGAAACCCUGAUCCAGCAAUGCCGCGUGUGUGAAGAAGGCCUGCGGGUUGUAAAGCACUUUCGGUUGGGAGGACUGCUUCUAGCACUAAUAUUGUUGGAAGUUGACGUUACCUUCAGAAGAAGCACCGGCUAACUCGCGGGCCAGCAGCCGCGGUAAUACGGAGGGUGCAAGCGUAAUCGGAAUUACUGGGCGUAAAGCGCGCGUAGGCGGCUAGAUCAGUCGGGUGUGAAAGCCCCGGGCUUAACCUGGGAACUGCAUCCGAUACUGUCUAGCUUGAGUACAGGAGAGGAGAGUGGAAUUCCACAUGUAGCGGUGAAAUGCGUAGAUAUGUGGAGGAACACCAAUGGCGAAGGCAGCUCUCUGGCCUGAUACUGACGCUGAGGUGCGAAAGCGUGGGGAGCAAACAGGAUUAGAUACCCCUGUAGUC
rnacentral:rRNA from 1 species